UGGGAGUGUCUGUUCACGGGUCUUCUAGCUACGUAAAUAAAGAACAUAAAAAACCCUGGAAAGUUCUCUAUUAUCCUAAGAAAACUGUAUUCAGGAAAGCAGACUUAAUUGAUAAGGGAUGUGUUAUUUUCCUCAAAAUGUGUCCCAGGAUUUACAAACAAAAUUCGAUUUGCGCUCGUCACUACGACGGAGAGUAUCAAACAUUUGCCAACUACUGUGAAAUGGAAUAUGAAAACUGCAAUAGUUGGCGAAAAUGGAGUAUGGUGAAGCGCACACGAUGUUGACUGAAAGAAGUAUUGCUAUUAUUUAUUUACAAGGCGCUUUAAAUUAUACUUUAGUAUCAAACUAAA
rnacentral:lncRNA from 1 species